UUAAUUUUUUCCGUAAGUGUUGAGCAGCUGCAGGAAUAAAUUUUUAUUCCGAGUUAAUCUCUGAUUCACCCUCCGAAGCGGAAGGCGGCGCUAAUGAGCAUUAAUACGAAACACAGAAGAAGUAAAGGUAUAUGGGCGGGAACAGCACCAAAGAGGCAACAGGGACGACUGGAGAAAGUUGGACCUAACGGCAGCAACUAGCAUCACUGGACUUACAUUGUAUGCAGAGUUUCAGCGGAUUACAAAUCAGAACCUGCCCAAUACAUUCUACGCUGAACUUGACCGCCAUCUUCCUCGACUGAUGACCUUAUUCAGCCAGGGCAUCAAAAACUGGGAAGACAGCAGAUGCCCUGGUUGAAAUUCUAAGAAUUCACAAUGAACAGGAAAUCCAUGAUAUCCACACCAAGUGCACUACCGUUCUCCCUGCCCUUCCUGUCUAUCUGCAUGAGGAUGUCUCUGGAUUUUUCAGAACCUGCACUGACGAAUCUGAUGAGUUGGAGCUUGAUGGUGUUGAAGUGGCCCUCUUCACUGUCAUCAGUGACCAUGACACAACAAGUCCAGUUCACUACCAACCUGUGAAAAUCUCUGUCGUCAUUGUAAGUGAUGCCGUGUUCAGUCUCCCCAGAUUUGGUGAAGCCUUCCUGGUAAUGUUUGGACUGAUCUAUGCACUUCACCUCAGCUACCCCAAAGGCCUGACCAACACUUUAGAAUUUACUCAAAAGAUUUUAUUUGGUCUAGAAAGUGGUAAACUGUCACCCAGGUUACAGACCCUCAAGAAUGACUUGGUUAUGUAGGAACUCAUCUGAAAGAAGGAUGCAGGGUGAAGCAUUAUAAAAGGCUAGUUCAAAGUUCUCUCCUUUCAUCUAAAUAAUGCCUCAAAACAUUAUUAGAUUACUCUACAGGUGUUCAGCCAAUAGGUCCAAACUAUACAACGUGCCUUUGUUCUCAUUAACAUAAUGCAAAGCAACACUAAUGUUUUGUAUGUUUUAAUGUUUUUCGUAAUACUAUUUCCAAAACAUUGUGGGCUGCGCAAGAUGACCUAAAUUUCACUGUUUGAUACUGGUUAAUGUAAAACAAAUAGCAUUGUAAUUCACUCAAAUUGCUGCCUUGUUGUCUUAUUCAGAUAUUAGCCAGAG